rnacentral:rRNA from 1 species
AUUUAUUACCGAUGAAAACUUUGCUAUGGGAGUAGCUGCUUGAGUACUACGAGCGUGUGCUUAAAACUCAAAGAAUUUGGCGGCUCGUUAACUACCUAGGGGAAUAUGUGCCUUAAUCCGAUGAUACCCGUAUUAUCUUACUGCAUCUUGAAAAGGGUCAGUUGGUGUAUUGCCGUUGUCAGCUUGUUGUUGAGCAGAAAGAAACAGGCUUAAUGGAGUUAUUAAAAAAUUAAUAAAGUCCGCGAAUUCAGGUCGAAAUGCUGCCUAUGGUGCAGGGAGUAGGUAUUACAAUUUUAAACUUAAAAUAACGAAUCCUAUUAUUAUGAAAUUUUUAGGUGAAGGGGGACUUAGGAGUAAGAGAAAAUUAAUAUGUUUCUCUGAACGUGAAUCUAACUUGUGUACAAACCGCCCGUCGCUCUCGCCGGAAGGGGAGAU